rnacentral:pre_miRNA from 1 species
AAUAAAUGAAUUUUUGUUUUCUUUAGAAUUUUUGACUCUUCGUCUUAUUUGAAAUUUUUUUAUAAUUAAUUUUUUUAUUGUUACUACAUGAUAAAACAUAAAUAAUAUUUUACGUGUGACUAAUUUUUUUAAUUUUUUAAUAAAUUUUUCAAAUAAGAUGGAUAGCUAAACGCUCGAUCUAAAGAACC